AGAUACAGCAGGAGUUGGACAGGAGUAUAACUAGAGAACUAAGAGAAGCUGCUGCUGAAUUUGAAUCUGAGUCCUAUGGAUUGUCUCCUCUAGGAGCUACAGAUGGGUCAAAUCUGUCUCAGGACCUGCUUUUGAAAACAUCACAAGAAUAUGUACAGAUUU